UACAGGGGGGGCAAGCGUUGUUCGGAAUUACUGGGCGUAAAGGGUUCGUAGGUGACCACCUAAGUCAGACGUGAAAUCCCUCAGCUUAACUGGGGAACUGCGUCUGAUACUGGGUGGCUUGAGUGCAGGAGAGGAAUGCGGAAUUCCAGGUGUAGCGGUGAAAUGCGUAGAUAUCUGGAGGAACACCGGUGGCGAAGGCGGCAUCCUGGACCAAUUCUGACGCUGAGGAGCGAAAGCCAGGGGAGCAAACGGG
rnacentral:rRNA from 1 species